rnacentral:tRNA from 1 species
UCUCUGAUGGCUCAGUGGUAAAGAAUCUGCCUGCAAUGCAGGAGACCCGGGUUCCACUCCUGGGUCGGGAA